rnacentral:rRNA from 1 species
GUGCCAGCAGCCGCGGUAAAACGUAGGAGGCGAGCGUUAUCCGGAUUCACUGGGCGUAAAGCGCGUGCAGGCGGUUUGGUAAGUUGGGCGUGAAAGCUCCCGGCUCAACUGGGAGAGGUCGUCCAAAACUACCAGACUAGAGAGCGAUAGAGGAAAAUGGAAUUCCCGGUGUAGUGGUGAAAUGCGUAGAUAUCGGGAGGAACACCAGUGGCGAAGGCGAUUUUCUGGAUCGUUUCUGACGCUCAGACGCGAAAGCUAGGGUAGCAAACGGGAUUAGAAACCCCAGUAGUCC